AAGUCUUCCCACACUGGUCACAGUUGUAUGGUCUUUCUCCAGAGUGGAUGUGUAGGUGUUCCUUAAGGUUAUUGAUGUGGUUGAAAGUCUUCCCGCACUGGUCACACUCAUAUGGUCUUUCUCCACUGUGGAUGCGCAGGUGUGUCUUAAGGUUAUUUGUUUUGGUGAAAGUCUUCCCACACUGGUCACAGCCAUAUGGUCUUUCUCCACUAUGGAUGCGUAGGUGUAUCUUAAGGUCACCCAUUCGAGUGAAAGUCUUCCCACACUGGUAACAGGCAUAUGGUCUUUCUCCGCUAUGGAUGCGAAGGUGUGUCUUAAGGUCAUUCAUUUGGGUGAAAGUCUUCCCACACUGGUCACACUCAUAUGGUCUUUCUCCACUGUGGAUACGUAGAUGUCUCUUAAGGUUAUCCAUAAGGGUGAAAGUCUUCCCACACUGGAUACA